AGUGUGUAUAUGUGUGUAUGUAUACACACAGAGAUGUAUGUAUACACAUACACACAUAUAUACACACA